rnacentral:rRNA from 1 species
UACGGGGGGAGCAAGCGUUGUUCAGAUUUACUGGGCGUAAAGGGCGCGUAGGCGGUAGCACAAGUCAGUUGUGAAAUCUCCGGGCUUAACUCGGAAAGGUCAACUGAUACUGUGCGACUAGAGUGCAGAAGGGGCAACUGGAAUUCUCGGUGUAGCGGUGAAAUGCGUAGAUAUCGAGAGGAACACCCGCGGCGAAGGCGGGUUGCUGGGCUGACACUGACGCUGAGGCGCGAAAGCCAGGGGAGCGAACGGG